CCCAAGGGUUCCCCAUGCUCCUCUUCUUCCUCUUCUUCUUCUUCUUCUUCUUUAGCUUGUUUUGCCCUCUCUUAUCUCUCCCUUUGUUCCUUUGUUUUCUCAUUCAAUCUUGCUCUUUGUUCCUCUUCUCUCUCGGUUUCUCUCCUUUCCAUGUUCUUCUCUUCCUCUCCUUCUCUAUUUAGCCACCCACAGCAGCCAUCUGCUGCUCAACACCGCAGCUGCAGCAGGCUCUUCCAGCAGCAACACAGCAGCACCCGAGACUCCUCCAAACAGAGCAGUAGGUCCCCGGCCUCCCUGCCGUGGAGCCAUGAUUUUCCAGCACCAGCCAGACCAUCCACUGCCUUCGGGUUACUCCAGAACCAGCAGGCACCAUACAACUCCGCAGCACCGCCGUGGACCUCCACCAAUCCAGCACAGCAGGCCUUCUCUGCAACCAUGCUCUGUUUUCUCUUACUCUCUCUCUCUCUCUCUCUCUCUCUCAUCUUCUUCUUCUUGUUGUUUUUAUUUAUUUAUUUACUUUAUGUUAAUUGUUAUUUUGUCUUUACUCGUUGGAUUUUAUCAAAGACUCGUUUUUUAUUCUUUCUUUUUUUCCUUUAUCAUUUAGUUAGAUGCUCUUUCAAUUAUAGUUCUUUUUAGUAUUAAAGUUUAUUGAUUUUAUGUGUUUAAUUAAUGAAGUCUAAGAUAAAAAUAAAAAAAUAUAGAAAACUAAAAUAAAAUACAAAGUUCGUGUUUUUAUUUCUUGUGUCAUGUUAUUGUUUAGGUUGAUUGAUAGUCUAAUUUUAAUUCGAGUUCUGUGUUCGUGUUAAAGGUCCAAUUUUUAUUGCGCGCGUGUGCGUAUUUGAUUGAGUCUCCAUUUCAUACUCUAUUUCCUUGUUUGAAGUUUCCAUUUUUAAUUAGUGCGUGUGUCGAUGUUUCCUUAGGUAUAUUAGAGUUUCUAUUCUAGCGUGUUUUAAUUCCUUAUUUAUAGUUUCCAUUUUUAAUUAGUGCGUGUCCCAAUGUUUCUUUAAGUAAACUAGGAUUUCUAUUCUUGUUUCUUUUAUUUAAUACAUGUUAGUUUUAGGGUUUUUAAAUUACGUGUCAUCUAAUUCGGCAAAAGUAAAAUUGAACAACUCUUGAAAAACCCGAAUCUGAACUGAGUUCAGUACCUUUUUAAUUUCGAUUGGAAGAACGUAAAAUCUGAGAUUAAAACGCAUUCCCUGAGGAGACGAUCUAGCCUUUGGGCUUAAUAUUACACGACGUAACUUCUAUACUUGAGAUAGCUUCCGAGCUACUCAUUUUUCGAGUGAGUCAAGUUUUUGGCGCCGUUGCCGGGGAAUGUUGUUCUUAGUCUCAAAUUUGCGUUUUUCCCGUCAUCUUUAUUAGUUUUAAGAAAAAGAAAAAAAAAUUAGAAAACAAAAAAAGAAAAAAUUUCGAGUUUUGAAAAAUGGCUGCACCUGCACCGCGCACGAUAAUGGAUUUUAUGCAGCUUGAAUAUGCCACUGCAUCCUCUUCUACUAUUUUGCCUUAUGAUGAGCUUAAUUUCAUGAUGCAGCGCGGGAGGACGUCACUGCUACCCGAGUUCUAUGGGACGGAAUCUGAGUGCCCAUAUCAGCACUUAGCAGAGUUUGAAUUAACCUGCAACAUGUUUUUCUCUCAUGCUAAAGCUGACGAAUCUAUCCGACUGAAUUUAUUUCUUGCUACUUUGCAGGAUAGGGCACUGAUCUGGUUUCAUUCCUUGAGACCUCACUCUAUCACUAAUUGGACUGAUAUGGAGCGUGAAUUUUCGCAUAUGUUUUGUUCCUCACAGAAAACUCAAUUUUUGCAGGAACAGAUUCUUAAUUUUGUGCAGCAGGAUGACGAGACAUUUAGGGCUUGCUGGGAGCGAUUCAAGGAUCUACUACGCACUUGUCCACAUCACGGGUUUGACUCAUGGAGGUUAGCUGAUUAUUUUUAUAGUGCUCUUACCCCUGAUUGGAAGUGUUUUGUCCAGACUAUGUCUAAUGGAGAGCCCGUCAGCGAGGAUCCAGAUCAAGUAUUAUCAUUCUUUGAUUACUUAGCUGACAAUGUCCCACAGUGCAACACACGAUACACUCAGGCACCCAUGACUGCACAUCCUAUCAGCACAAUUAGUGGUGGUGAUGCAUAUGAACCACCAAACUGCCCAGAUAUUCCUCUGCCUCAAUACCAGCCACAACAGAUCUCUCAGAGUUGUACGCCAUCAGAAUUUCUGGAGGAUAGCAUAACUCAGAUGGCGAACAUGCUCCAGCAGUUCAUGCAAACUCAAAUCGAUCAUAAUAAUGAAUUGCGGGACACCAUUAAUGCGAUAAGCACACAGUUGGACAUCUUAGAAAACGAGAAAACACUCGCAGAACCUCAGCCUAGUUCUCAAGAGUACCAGCAACCGCAACAACAAAUACAUGAUAUUUCUCUUGAGACAACAGAGGAAACCAUCACCUUUAGUAGCGAGAAAGACGACCCCCAAUCUGAAAUGCUCAUCGUCGGACAAAUAGUUGUCCCAGCACCAGAAGUUACGACUGAAAUAGAUGAAUUCAAAGAAAAAUUAGAGGAAACGAGCCCAAAAGCGGAGCAUUUAGUUGAUGAGGAGACUAAUACUCAUACGGAGUACCAACCUGUGGUACCUCAUACUCCGAGCUCAGAAACCAUGGAACCGUCAUCCCCGCCUGAAUCAGAUGUUAAGGAGCCUAAUGAGGAUGCAGACUCUUGCAGUGGUAUGAUGGUAUGUACACCCGAUAAAGAGGGUGACCAGUCUGGUGAGCUUAUAAUUUUCAAAGAACCAGGUAAAACCUUUAAUGUUAAUGCUUCUGAAGAACUACAGGUAAUUAUUCCGAUCACUUUCUCUCAACCGUUAGUUCGUAAAGAAGCACAUUUCCUGGAAACAAUGUUGAAUAAAGACCCUUUCUUAUCCACACACGAGGGUCGACCUGCACACAAAUUGUUUGGUAUUUUGACACGCAUUAAUUCAUUUGAGGUUGAUUUUCGUGCAGGUAUGACAACUGAUCGAUUGUGGGGGCUUAAAUUUGGAGAACCGCCGGUGCAAUUUAUAGACCUGCGGCCACCAGACGAAAUUCCUCCAGAGCCUCCGCCAAGACAAGUGUGAUAUUUUUCUUUUCCUUCUUUUCCUUUUAUUUUAUCUUAUUUUAUUUUUAGUUAGUUUUCAGGUCUAUUUUCUCGUAGUUCGAUCUUUGUUUUCCAUUAUUUCGCCACUCAGGAAAAAUUCCCGGGUGUCAAAACCGAUACCUGUUCGUAUUUUAUGCAUAACUUUUCCUUCUGAGCUCCGAUCGAGACGAUUCAAAUUUCUGGAGAAAGAGGAAAGGAUCAUCUACAACUUUCGUGUUUUGAGUUUUGUGAGAUACGAGCUCCAGAAGAGCAGAAUUUGCGACGAACAGAGAACAAAGAAAAUGAAAAAAAAUAUAUAUAAUAAUUGGGUCAUUGAUGUGACCCGGCCAUGCAUGGCCGGGUUGGGUUGUCCACGCCGGAUCCUAGGGCACCCAGCUCUUCCUUUAAAUCUUCUUAUCUUCCUCUCCCUACGCAGGCAGCCCAAGGGCUCCCCAUGCUCCUCUUCUUCCUCUUCUUCUUCUUCUUCUUCUUUAGCUUGUUUUGCCCUCUCUUAUCUCUCCCUUUGUUCCUUUGUUUUCUCAUUCAAUCUUGCUCUCUGUUCCUCUUCUCUCUCGGUUUCUCUCCUUUCCAUGUUCUUCUCUUCCUCUCCUUCUCUAUUUAGCCAUCUGCUGCUCAACACAGCAGCCAUCUGCUGCUCAACACCGCAGCUGCAGCAGGCUCUUCCAGCAGCAACACAGCAGCACCCGAGACUCCUCCAAACAGAGCAGUAGGUCCCCGGCCUCCCUGCCGUGGAGCCAUGAUUUUCCAGCACCAGCCAGACCAUCCACUGCCUUCGGGUUACUCCAGAACCAGCAGGCACCAUACAACUCCGCAGCACCGCCGUGGACCUCCACCAAUCCAGCAAAGCAGGCCUUCUCUGCAACCAUGCUCUGUUUUCUCUUACUCUCUCUCUCUCUCUCUCUCUCUCAUCUUCUUCUUCUUGUUGUUUUUAUUUAUUUAUUUACUUUAUGUUAAUUGUUAUUUUGUCUUUACUCGUUGGAUUUUAUCAAAGACUCGUUUUUUAUUCUUUCUUUUUUUCCUUUAUCAUUUAGUUAGAUGCUCUUUCAAUUAUAGUUCUUUUUAGUAUUAAAGUUUAUUGAUUUUAUGUGUUUAAUUAAUGAAGUCUAAGAUAAAAAUAAAAAAUAUAGAAAACUAAAAUAAAAUACAAAGUUCGUGUUUU